UACAGAGGUCCCAAGCGUUGUUCGGAUUCACUGGGCGUAAAGGGUGCGUAGGUGGUGAGGUAAGUCGGAUGUGAAAUCUCUGAGCUCAACUCGGAAACUGCAUUGGAAACUACCUUGCUCGAGGGUUGGAGGGGGGGACUGGAAUGCUUGGUGUAGCAGUGAAAUGCGUAGAUAUCAAGCGGAACACCAGUGGCGAAGGCGAGUCCCUGGACAACUCCUGACACUGAUGCACGAAAGCUAGGGGGAGCAAACAGG
rnacentral:rRNA from 1 species